GGUUUCCCCCCAUUUCUUUUCUCUCAUUUGUUUUGCUGAAACUUCCCCCCUAAUUCUAUUAUCUCCACUUGGCAGUUCAGUUUUGUCCCUUGUGGUUGGUUUUUCUCCUCAAAACUUUAGCUCUCUCAACAGACUCAUCUCCUCUUCCUCUCUUGCUUGGUGUUCUUUUGUCUAUAGUGCAGAUUUUUGCUGUGUGAUUUUUGUGCUGCAUUUUCAUUAGUCCCUGAAGCCUUGUAACCAUCGAAGCCCAACACUGGUGACAUUAUCAUUCGUUGAUGAUAUUGAUGACCCAGCUGUGGGUCAAGAAUAGAAAUUGGAGCUUGACUAGAUAUAGAUAGAAGGUCGAGUACCUAAGGGUACCAUUGUUAGUAGAAGGGUUUGACUUGAGUAUUUGAAGUUCUUUAUGUUAUUUGGAUCUGUUGAGACUUAAGAUGUAUCAGUUUAUUAUGUUGAGAUUUAAUUAUGUUUUUGGUUUAGUAGGACUUGUGGAUUUAUUAGUUUGGUAUGUUAUGACUACCUGGAGAUUGUGGACCCUUGGUUUAUUAUUAUAGCAGUAAUGACUUUAUGGAGUUUGUAAUGUGUUUAUUUAGAAGAUAUGAGAUUGAUUUUUACUUAUGAAAUCUUUGGAGAUUUUUAGAUGUAUUGGGAGAUAUUUUUAUAAGUGACAAGUAGUAAUACUCCAACCCACCCGGGUAUGGGGCGUUA